rnacentral:rRNA from 1 species
UACGGAGGGGGCUAGCGUUAUUCGGAAUUAUUGGGCGUAAAGGGCGCGUAGGCGGCUCGACGUGUCCAAGGUGAAAUCCCUCGGCUCAACUGAGGAACUGCCUUGGAAACUGUCGAGCUUGAGGCCGGGAGGGGGUAGCGGAAUUCCCAGUGUAGCGGUGAAAUGCGUAGAUAUUGGGAGGAACACCAGUGGCGAAGGCGGCUACCUGGACCGGUUCUGACGCUGAUGCGCGAAAGCGUGGGUAGCAAACAGGAUUAGAAACCCCAGUAGUCC